AUUGAACGCUGGCGGCAGGCCUAACACAUGCAAGUCGAGCGAGCGGCGGACGGGUGAGUAAUGUCUGGGACACUGCCUGAUGGAGGGGGAUAACUACUGGAAACGGUAGAUAAUAACGCAUACCAUCAGAUGUGCCCAGAUGGGAUUAGCUAGUUGGUGGGGUAACGGCUCACCUAGGCGACGAUCCUUAGCUGGUCUGAGAGGAUGACCAGCCGCACUGGAAGUGAGAGCGGGCCCAGGAGCAGACGGGAGGGAGCAUUGGGGAUUAUUGCACAAUGGGCGCAAACUGGAUACAGACAUGCCGCGAGUGUGAAGAAGGCAUUCGGGUUGUAAGGCACUUUCAGCGGGGAUGCGUUACCCGCAGAAGAAGCACCGGCUAACUCCGUGCCAGCAGCCGCGGUAAUUC
rnacentral:rRNA from 1 species